AGAGUUGAUCAUGGCUCAGGAUGAACGCUAGCGACAGGCUUAACACAUGCAAGUCGAGGGGCAGCAUAGAAGUAGCAAUACUCGGUGGCGACCGGCGCACGGGUGAGUAACGCGUAUGCAACCUACCUAGUCAGAGGGGAAUAACCCGGCGAAAGUCGGACUAAUACCGCAUAAACAGGGGCACGCAUGGUGAUAUUUGUUAAAGAAAUUCGCUGAUAGAUGGGCAUGCGUUCCAUUAGGUAGUUGGUGAGGUAACGGCUCACCAAGCCGACGAUGGAUAGGGGAACUGAGAGGUUGGUCCCCCACACUGGUACUGAGACACGGACCAGACUCCUACGGGAGGCAGCAGUGAGGAAUAUUGGUCAAUGGGCGGGAGCCUGAACCAGCCAAGUCGCGUGAAGGAAGAAGGAUCUAUGGUUCGUAAACUUCUUUUGCAGGGGAAUAAAGUGCAGGACGUGUCCUGUUUUGUAUGUACCCUGAGAAUAAGGAUCGGCUAACUCCGUGCCAGCCGCCGC
rnacentral:rRNA from 1 species